UACGGAGGGGGCUAGCGUUGUUCGGAAUUACUGGGCGUAAAGCGCACGUAGGCGGACUGGAAAGUCAGGGGUGAAAUCCCGGGGCUCAACCCCGGAACUGCCCUUGAAACUCCCGGUCUUGAGGUCGAGAGAGGUGAGUGGAAUUCCGAGUGUAGAGGUGAAAUUCGUAGAUAUUCGGAGGAACACCAGUGGCGAAGGCGGCUCACUGGCUCGAUACUGACGCUGAGGUGCGAAAGCGUGGGGAGCAAACAGG
rnacentral:rRNA from 1 species